GACGAACGCUGGCGGCGUGCUUAACACAUGCAAGUCGAACGGAAAGGCCCCCUUGUGGGGUACUCGAGUGGCGAACGGGUGAGUAACACGUGAGUAACCUACCCUUGACUUUGGGAUAACUUCAGGAAACUGGGGCUAAUACCGGAUAGGAGCUCCUGCUGCAUGGUGGGGGUUGGAAAGUUUCGGCGGUUGGGGAUGGACUCGCGGCUUAUCAGCUUGUUGGUGGGGUAGUGGCUCACCAAGGCUUUGACGGGUAGCCGGCCUGAGAGGGUGACCGGCCACAUUGGGACUGAGAUACGGCCCAGACUCCUACGGGAGGCAGCAGUGGGGAAUAUUGCACAAUGGGCGGAAGCCUGAUGCAGCAACGCCGCGUGCGGGAUGACGGCCUUCGGGUUGUAAACCGCUUUCGCCUGUGACGAAGCGUGAGUGACGGUGAUGGGUAAAGAAGCACCGGCUAACUACGUG
rnacentral:rRNA from 1 species